rnacentral:rRNA from 1 species
UCGAGCGAUGAAACCCUUCGGGGUGGAUUAGCGGCGGACGGGUGAGUAACACGUGGGUAACCUGCCUCAAAGAGGGGAAUAGCCUCCCGAAAGGGAGAUUAAUACCGCAUAAUAUGUUUUGGUCGCAUGACCGAGACAUCAAAGGAGUAAUCCGCUUUGAGAUGGACCCGCGGCGCAUUAGCUAGUUGGUGAGGUAACGGCUCACCAAGGCGACGAUGCGUAGCCGACCUGAGAGGGUGAUCGGCCACAUUGGAACUGAGACACGGUCCAGACUCCUACGGGAGGCAGCAGUGGGGAAUAUUGCGCAAUGGGGGAAACCCUGACGCAGCAACGCCGCGUGAAUGAUGAAGGCCUUCGGGUUGUAAAGUUCUGUCUUCUGGGACGAUAAUGACGGUACCAGAGGAGGAAGCCACGGCUAACUACGUGCCAGCAGCCGCGGUAAUACGUAGGUGGCAAGCGUUGUCCGGAUUUACUGGGCGUAAAGGAUGCGUAGGCGGACAUUUAAGUCAGAUGUGAAAUACCCGAGCUUAACUUGGGUGCUGCAUUUGAAACUGGGUGUCUAGAGUGCAGGAGAGGUAAGUGGAAUUCCUAGUGUAGCGGUGAAAUGCGUAGAGAUUAGGAAGAACACCAGUGGCGAAGGCGA